GGAUGCGAUCAUACCAGCACUAAAGCACCGGAUCCCAUCAGAACUCCGAAGUUAAGCAUGCUUGGGCGAGAGUAGUACUAGGAUGGGUGACCUCCUGGGAAGUCCUCGUGCUGCAUUCC
rnacentral:rRNA from 1 species